UACGGAGGGUGCAAGCGUUAUCCGGAAUCACUGGGUUUAAAGGGUGCGUAGGCGGGGGAUUAAGUCAGUGGUGAAAGCCUGUAGCUUAACUACAGAAUUGCCAUUGAUACUGAUUUUCUUGAAUUGGGUUGAGGUUAGCGGAAUGUGACAUGUAACGGUGAAAUGUUUAGAUAUGUCAUGGAACACCGAUUGCGAAGGCAGCUAGCUGGGCCUUGAUUGACGCUGAGGCACGAAAGCGUGGGUAGCGAACAGGAUUAGAUACCCUGGUAGUCCACGCCCUAAACGAUGCUAACUCGAUGUUUGGGCUUAAGGUUUGAGCAUCCAAGGGAAACCGAUAAGUUAGCCACCUGGGGAGUACGACCGCAAGGUUGAA
rnacentral:rRNA from 1 species